rnacentral:miRNA from 2 species
CUCCCUAACGGAGUCAGAUUGA